CCUACGGGAGGCAGCAGUAGGGAAUCUUCCACAAUGGACGAAAGUCUGAUGGAGCAACGCCGCGUGAGUGAUGAAGGUUUUCGGAUCGUAAAACUCUGUUGUAAGGGAAGAACAAGUACGUUAGGAAAUGAACGUACCUUGACGGUACCUUAUUAGAAAGCCACGGCUAACUACGUGCCAGCAGCCGCGGUAAUACGUAGGUGGCAAGCGUUGUCCGGAUUUAUUGGGCGUAAAGCGCGCGCAGUGGUUUCUUAAGUCUGAUGUGAAAGCCCACGGCUCAACCGUGGAGGGUCAUUGGAAACUGGGAGACUUGAGUGCAGAAGAGGAUAGUGGAAUUCCAAGUGUAGCGGUGAAAUGCGUAGAGAUUUGGAGGAACACCAGUGGCGAAGGCGACUGUCUGGUCUGUAACUGACACUGAGGCGCGAAAAGCGUGGGGAGCAAACAGGAUUAGAUACCCUGGUAGUCCACGCCGUAAACGAUGAGUGCUAAGUGUUAGGGGGUUUCCGCCCCUUAGUGCUGCAGCUAACGCAUUAAGCACUCCGCCUGGGGAGUACGACCGCAAGGUUGAAACUCAAAGGAAUUGACGGGGGCCCGCACAAGCGGGUGGAGCAUGUGGUUUAAUUCGAAGCAACGCGAAGAACCUUAC
rnacentral:rRNA from 1 species